AAUCCCAAGACGAAUUCGUCUGACGAACCAGCAGAGAUGAAAAUAGACAACGAUCGGAAUUCACCCGAGAACCGCGAGGAAGAGGCUAUCAAGGCCACAGCUUCACCGCAAUCCUCCGAAGACAAGUCUGCCUCGGACUUCGCGGUUGUCGACAGCAACUACGCCAGUGCUGGAGGCAGUGGAGUGAGCGGCAUCGGAUGCGGAAGCGGCAGCGGCAGCGGAAGUGGCAGCGGAAGUAAAGGCAGUGGAGGAAGUGGCUGGCAGCGGAUCCGGCAGUGGUGGCGGAGGCAGCGCUGGCGGCGGCCGUAGUUCCGACUCUAAGAGAAAGCACUCUUCAGUCACGACUGGCGACUCUGGAAAUGAGUCCUUAACUGUCAAGGAGCAGCAGAUGCGAGCCAGCAGCAGCAACAGCAGCCGCAACGGCAGUGCAUGGAGCCGCGAGCGUGCAGGACAAGUACCCGCCCUGCCCGCCGCUCACCGAGGAGGUGCUCCUGCAGUACAACCGACUGGCAUACAAGCACAUGAAUAAGCACCAACAGCCACAGCAGCAACAUUAUCAGCCGCAGCCCGGUAUGGGCAUCGGAGGCGGCACGACCGCGGACGACCACAAGGACAGCCACCGGCUCAAGCGCAGCGGAUCGCCGCUCGUCAACUCGAACCUGCACAAGCACAACAAGUCGUGCAGGGAAAGCACGGUG